UCCGUAGGCGGGCAAUUAAGUCAGAGGUGAAAUCCCACAGCUCAACUGUGGAACUGCCUUUGAUACUGGUUGUCUUGAGUUAUAGUGAAGUAGAUAGAAUAUGCAGUGUAGCGGUGAAAUGCAUAGAUAUUACAUAGAAUACCGAUUGCGAAGGCAGUCUACUAACUGUAUACUGACGCUAAUGGACGAAAGCGUGGGGAGCGAACAGGAUUAGAUACCCUGGUAGUCC
rnacentral:rRNA from 1 species